UGGCCACCUCCCUUAUUCUAGACUUGGAGACUGGAGUAGCGAAUUAAGUAAUAUAUAAAAGGAUGGCGGUAAAUCAUAAAAAGAUUUUUUUUUUUCCCACGAACACAAACCAAUCCUUCUCCAGUCUUCACAACCGUGCUCCAGCGAAUUCUUCUUCUUACGUUCCGCUGCUGACGCUACUACCGGUAUAAAUUCAAUGGAAAAUAAAGGAGCUGCAAUGACAUCUGAAAUUGGUCAGAACAAAGGAGGAGCUGAAUCUGAGAAGGCUCAACAGGAUGUCGUUCGUAUUCAGGACUCAUUCUCUGUCGUACAUACUGUUCAAUUCUCCGUCACAGAUCCCCAAUCUGUAAGCAAGGUUGUACGACAGGAUGCACCUAGACAUUCUCAUGAUCCAUCAACAGAGGUUAAUAUGGAGGCUACUAUAAAUACUGAGGAUUUGAUAAGAGCUGGAGGUUUCGGUGCUAGAGAUGAUAUAAGUAGUCUUCUGCCUAUUGCAAGUGACUCCACUGAUUUUGAAGCUUCGUUGCUUGAUGCGCGUGACUAUGAAGAGCCCCAGGGUGAACAAUGUCGACCAGGCCUUGGCUGGAAGGAAGAUAGAGUGUCAGAAUGAAAUAUAUUGUUUCAGAGAAUAUCUUUCAGAUUUUCAUCAUGAACUUAUAACAUGUAAGACUGUAAGUUUGAUCGGAGAGCGAUUGACGGAGUUGGCCCCUACUGAAGGAGCUCCGUGAAGGCUGGUCAGAGUUGGAUUUGUGGGGCCUUCUAUUGACCAGAAUCUGAUUCUCCUUCUAGUUGGCCACGUUUUUAAUGUUCACAAGGUUGUGCAUUAUAAGAAGAGCUUGGACCACUUCCACUAUGAAGUACAAUCAGCAUCUAUGAUUUUAAAGCACCAGUUUAUUGAGGAAAACAAGCAUCCUUUAUAUUAAGGUCAAUAUUAUCAUUAAAUGUGUUUUUUCUGAUUUUUCUCUGUCAAUUCCUUCUUUGAAAUGCAUGCUUUGAUCGAUCUUUUUUGUCCUUAAAUCUUUUAGUCGGGGCCCGUUCUCUGUGCUGUUUGUUAAUUAGCCUAGUACUUCUAUAAAAUUUAGUGACAUGAGCAUCUUGUUGAGUUGGUAUUCUUGGUAAAUCUCUUUUUACUAGAAGCCAGAAUUUUGGAACAUUUCCCCCCUCCUCCAUUAUGCCAAAGUGAACAUUUAAGUGUUGUUCCGAUUUGAGAUCUCAUAUCCGACCUAUGUGAAGUAUUCGAGUGUUCUAUCUAUGUUUGACUGUCAAAAUAAUUUACUAAAACAGUGUGCACCAACCUUAAUAAAUUAUUAGGCUAGUAGAGUGGAGAUAUAAAGUGUGGGUUGGUGAAGACAAGAUUAUGGAGUAUAGGUCAUCCCAAAAGUUAUUUCGGGUUAUCUAAUAAAUUGUUAUUUUUGGGUAAACAUUCUCUAACGUUAAUUGGAUUACUAUCUAACUAUGAGUUAUCUUAUCAUGAUCAGUAUUGUUUUGUAUCUUUUGCUCCUCAGCCACAUUUUUGAGCAGUCAUUUUGAGUGAGUUGAAACAUAAUUAUGUUAUAAAAUGCACGUUAGGUUUUUGUCUUGGCCUACCCAUGUGUGUUCUUUGUUUGCUAAGAUCUUAUGACAUUGAGUAUGUUUACAUUUAGCCGAAAUAAUUGUAAACACAUUGUUGGUGAUUUUAUGUGAAUGCCAUCAUUUCAGUUUUGAUAUAGAUUAAAUUUAUGAUCAGUUGACCUCGGCUCCUCGCUUUCCUUCGGCAUAUCACUUCUGUGUUUUAAGGUUCUAAACUUAAAUGUUUCGAGGUAAACAUUUGUUUUGCUCUUGUUUCCGGACUUGGCCUGUUCAUGGAAUAACAAUGAGUCUCUUCUAACUGCUUUAUAACGAAUUUUAGGAUAUUUAAAUUCAUGAAGUAUCAUCCUGGGACCAUCAUUAUUAGUCAUUCAAACAUUUUAGCUAUUAUAAUCUUUUAAAAAUAUGUAUAAGGUUUUAAAUAUAUAUAAUGUUAUAGAAAACUUUAGUAGUAUAAAUGAGUAUUUUAAGUUAAUAAUUCAUAUUUUUAUGUUCGCCUGUGAGGUAUUGUGUCGGUGCCGUGUUUGUGACAUUAUGACCGUUAUCGCAUUAUUGUACUUUUUUAUGAGGUUUGGACCAAUUAUUUUUUCACACCUUCUUAGAUUGUAAGCGGUUCUAGUGACUGCAUAUUGUGUAAUGUCACAGUGAAAUGUGCUGUUGGGUGAUGUAGAGAUUAUGUGUUACUCGAUUAACUUGCAUUUUGUGUGAUUAAAUAUUUUACCUGUUUGCUAUUGAGCUUGUUAGCUAAUCCUUAAUUUGCCGAGUACAAAAGAAUGGAAAAGUUUCAUUAUUGGUUGAAAAUGAAUCUAUUAGUUGGCAUACAUUUUGGUCAUGGAUGGUUUAACCCAGAACACCAUUUUGAGUUGACUCUAAUUCUAUUGUCAUAGAACAAAUGAGAUAACUCACCUAAAAGACUAAAUUAGUAUGUGAGAUAGUCUAUUUACUUGAUAAACUCUACAUUAAUUGCCUAUACAAUCUAUGAGGGACAAAGUGGCAUAGAGUUACAAAGGUUACUUGGAAAGAAUGUAUUUUCUAUCAUGAAUUACAACCGAUUUGAGUAAAGGAGUUGUUCGACAAGUGAAUUUUGGUUGCUUUGGCAAGGUCAAUUGUUCUCCUAUUACGUACAUUAAUAAAUAAGAGUUGUUUUUUGAGAGAUCUUUGCUUGGCAAGACGACCUUAAAAUAAGGAGUGUAUAUGGUAAUAAUUAUAUUAAUUGAUCUAUUUAAUCUAUGUAUGAAAAAUGUCUCAAGAGUGAGAUUUUUUCACUGUGAAUCAGUAGUCAUAGUUGGAUGAAUGCUAUUUGUGUUUGGUGGGCCUUUCAAGUUGGAUCCAAUUAAAAAAAAGUUCUUUUUCCUAAGUAAUAUAUAUUUCCACUGCCCUUGAAAGUAUGAAACAUUUAUUUUUCAUAGCAAGUCUUUUUUUGAAAAAUUAUUAUUAGAUGUUGCAAGUGUGCUUAACUUGUUCAAUUAGACAUAGAUGGAUGAGUCGGUUGCAAAGAGUGAAAGAGUUUGCAUUUGUAGCAAACUUAGGCAGAGCAAUAAGUAGAUAAUAGAGAAAGUAAAGGUCUAUUCAUCAUAAACAUGUCAUAGUUUGUUGCUUAAAGUUGUUUAACAUUUCCUUUUAUUUGUCUUGUUGAGGUAGUUUUUUCUACUUUUUCUCAUUGAAUAUCUUUGUCUUUAGAUUCUUAUUGUUUGUGCAAUUGUGAAUAAUUUAUUGUAAUGUAAAAAUAUUAUAAAUUUUCGUAACUUAAUGUAUAUCUUUCAUAAAAAUUAUGAUUAGAGUUUAAAAGAUGAUAGAUCAUACUCUUUUCAAAGAUACUUUAAUGUGAUAUGAAGAUUAUAUAUUUUUUUUUACUUUAAAGAUAUCAUAUGAUAAAUCUGAAAAUGUUUACUUUCCUUAGUUGAUAAGACAUUUUACCUACCAAAUUCUCAUAGGCAAAAGCAAACACUAAAACUUUUACAUGUUUAAUAAGAUAAUUAGCACUAAAUUAAUAAGGUUAAUAUGUCUAUGGCAUGAUUAUGGUUAAUUUGAUU